GGGGAUGCUGGGCUUCGACAAGCGAUUUUAUUCUAUUUUGUGCAGAAUGAGCUCUUAGCUGCUCAUAAAACCGUUAAGAAAAUUUUAAGUGCAAAUACACUUUCAAGCAAAGUAAAAUCAUUGUUCGCAAUGCCAAGCUUUGCGCCUGUUGCAGUUUAAUUUUUAACUCAACCAUCGGUCCUCAGAUACUCACUAUGAGAUCACUGGUGUAAACUUAGCGAGUGUAGAUUGUAGAAGUUCUCUGGUCUACAAUUGAAAUCAUAAUUAGAGAUCGAGAUUUAACUUUUUUGUCUUGCCUUUAGGUUAAAUUUCUAAAAAUCAGGCUCGACUAAUUCUGUAGAAUCAACAUAGUUGAUUGUUUGGACGCGGGUUCAACUCCCGCCAUCUCCACUU
rnacentral:tmRNA from 1 species